UCUAACUAUCUAACAAUCACCAAAACCAACGCUAAUAAAUCAUCACACUUCCUACUUCUGUUUCACAGAAACACAGAGCUGGCCAGAGAUGUACUUUAUUAACCACAACAACAUGUCUGCAGGGCCAUGAGUCAGGCUGGAUACACACUCUGCAUCAAGUGAUGGCUGAGUUGAUGGAGCAGCCAGCAGCAUCCCAGCAGUAAGGACUUCAACACCAACACCAAUCAAUGGUGGACCUAUAGACCCAGGGUUAGCAGCAGGGGUAGCGCUGGGUACAGCGGUCCUGUUGAUCGUGGGCCUGGUUCUCCUCAUUCGCUGGCACAGAAGGAGAGAAAACAAGAUGCCAAAGGACACCAGAACCACUCAUCUCAGUGUGGACGGAGAUCAGGGCGGAGGUCCAACAUACGCCUCUAUUGUCCUGUAUGAGGGACAGAGGAGCGUGGCUACAGCACAGCAUAUCAUGUUGUGCAUAACUGUGUGAUGGGUCCACACAUCGCAUAACGUCACAACGUAUCACAGCGCAUGGUGUCAUUGUAUCACGACUCUCACGACAUGUGAGACAGCACAGCACAGCGAGACAUAGUGAUGAGGACGGUUCCAGCGAUGCAGUGACCUACUCCUCAGUGAGAGCCUCUCCCAGAUGUGGAGAGAAGGCUGGUGGGGACGUACACUACGCCACCGUCAACAAACGGGCAUAAUAACAAAACAUCUGUAGAUGAGUUCAGGAUGAAACAGAGCCAGCAGCAGCAGCAACCGGCAGUAGCAAUUAAGGUUGUAUUCAAGUUUAGUAUAUUAAUAGUAAAAAUAAAAUAAAUUGGAUCAAUAGUCUUCUGAAUGAAUUGCUGAAUUUUCAUAUGAGAGAAGAUAAGAGGGAAAUGUAAACUGGAAAACCUACAAUUGCUGAAGAAAUUGUACUUCACUUCCAUUACAUGCUUAUAUGUGUGUAUAUUUGUGUGUUUAUCUAUGUGUACAUUACGUUCCUGUAUUUGUACGUAUGUAUACUUAUGUGUACGUAUGUUUGUGAUGUUAUGCGAUGAAUGUAUGAACUAGUUCUAUGGUACCAGCAGUUAAUUUCCGACCACUUUGUGAGCUCAGCUUGUCAUGUCUGCAGUGUUGGGGAGUAACGGAAUACAUAUACCGGCGGGGGUCAUCCCUAUGUUCCCCGGCCUAUGUUCCCCGGGUCCUAUGUUCCCCGCGUCCUAUGUUCCCCAGGGC
ensembl:lncRNA